rnacentral:rRNA from 1 species
UGCAUAUCAAAAAGCGGAGGAAAAGAAACCAACAGGGAUUGCCUUAGUAACGGCGAGUGAAGCGGCAAAAGCUCAAAUUUGAAAUCGGCCACCAGGUCGAGUUGUAAUUUGUAGAUUGUAUCUUGAGAGCGGAUUAAAGUCUGUUGGAACACAGCGCCUUAGAGGGUGACAGCCCCGUAAAAUCUAUUCUCAUUGUAAGAUACUUUCGAAGAGUCGAGUUGUUUGGGAAUGCAGCUCUAAGUGGGAGGUAAAUUCCUUCUAAAGCUAAAUAUUGACGAGAGACCGAUAGCGAACAAGUACUGUGAAGGAAAGAUGAAAAGCACUUUGAAAAGAGAGUGAAAAAGUACGUGAAAUUGUUAAAAGGGAAGGGUAUUGAAUCAGACUUGGUGCUGUUGUUCAACUGUGUUUCGGCAUAGUGUACUCAGCAGUACUAGGCCAAGGUGGGGUGUUUGGGAGUGAAAAAGAAGUUGGAACGUAACUCUUCGGAGUGUUAUAGCCUACUUUCAUAGCUCCUCAGGCGCCUCAGGACUGCGCUUCGGCAAGGACCUUGGCAUAAUGAUUCUAUACCGCCCGUCUU